GCAUAUAAUUCUUGAGUAUGUGGAGAAUGGUUCACUUGCAAACAUUAUCAAGCCAAAUAAAUUUGGGCCUUUUCCUGAAUCAUUGGUGGUUGUUUAUAUUGCCCAGGUUUUGGAAGGUUUGGUUUAUCUACAUGAACAGGGUGUUAUCCAUCAGGAUAUCAAUGGUGCAAAUAUUUUGACAACUAAAGAGACGCCAAAGCCAUCGUCUGGACCCCACAAGUUGAGGGAAUGUUUGCCACUUAUUCUCAUUCUGCGAAACAGACUGAAGUAUUCUUUGACAUACAGAGAAGUGAUUGGUAUUCUUCUGCAAAGGCAUGUCAAAAAUCUUAAUGGCUAUUUAUAUAUUUUUUUUAUUUUUAACAUCUCUAUUGUUUACCAAGUUUGUUGGUUUAUCUGAUCAUUUGGUUUUGCAUCCUUUAGAUAUUGAAGGUGUAGUGGAGGAUUCAAUCUCUUCAAGCUGGAAAAGCCAAGGCUUAGCACUUUUUCAAGUAGAGUGUUAUUUAAUGUUGUAUUCCAUGGUCGUUUAUCUUAGUCGGAACUUGAAUUAGGUGUUAUUGAAAUAGGGUUUUGUAGCUACCUUGUGUACUAGCUUCUUUAAUCAUGAUUGUUAAUUAUUACGUGUUUUGUAGCUUAUUUUAUAUUUGGCC